CUCCGUGAAGGUUUAUAUCAGAUAAUUUAGAAUUUGAUCUCUGAUUCUACUGCAAUUCAGGUAAGAAUUUGAUCCUUAAACAAGUAGAAUAUUAGAAAAAAAAUUUAGAUGCAAUCUAGACAUUCUGGAGGGAAACUAUUUUCUUUCCUUCAUUUGGUUGUAUCGGGAAGGUACAACCACUCUAUUAGCAUCAGAUGCUUUGGGGCA
rnacentral:lncRNA from 1 species